AUACGGAGGGUGCAAGCGUUACUCGGAAUCACUGGGCGUAAAGGACGCGUAGGCGGGUUGUCAAGUCUGAUGUGAAAUCCUAUGGCUCAACCAUAGAACUGCAUUGGAAACUGGCAACCUAGAGUAUGGGAGGGGGAGAUGGAAUUAGUGGUGUAGGGGUAAAAUCCGUAGAUAUCACUAGGAAUACCGAAAGCGAAGGCGAUCUCCUGGAACAUAACUGACGCUAAGGCGUGAAAGCGUGGGGAGCAAACGGGAUUAGAUACCCUAGUAGUCC
rnacentral:rRNA from 1 species